rnacentral:rRNA from 1 species
AAAUUGAAGAGUUUGAUCAUGGCUCAGAUUGAACGCUGGCGGCAGGCCUAACACAUGCAAGUCGAACGGUAACAGGAAGCAGCUUGCUGCUUCGCUGACGAGUGGCGGACGGGUGAGUAAUGUCUGGGAAACUGCCUGAUGGAGGGGGAUAACUACUGGAAACGGUGGCUAAUACCGCAUAACGUCGCAAGACCAAAGAGGGGGACCUUCGGGCCUCUUGCCAUCAGAUGUGCCCAGAUGGGAUUAGCUGGUUGGUGAGGUAACGGCUCACCAAGGCGACGAUCCCUAGCUGGUCUGAGAGGAUGACCAGCCACACUGGAACUGAGACACGGUCCAGACUCCUACGGGAGGCAGCAGUGGGGAAUAUUGCACAAUGGGCGCAAGCCUGAUGCAGCCAUGCCGCGUGUAUGAAGAAGGCCUUCGGGUUGUAAAGUACUUUCAGCGGGGAGGAAGGUGUUGUGGUUAAU